rnacentral:rRNA from 1 species
AGUGAACGCUGGCGGUAGGCCUAACACAUGCGAGUCCAACGGCAGCACAGUAAGAGCUUGCUCUUACGGGUGGCGAGUGGCGGACGGGUGAGGAAUACAUCGGAAUCUACUUUUUCGUGGGGGAUAACGUAGGGAAACUUACGCUAAUACCGCAUACGACCUACGGGUGAAAGCAGGGGAUCUUCGGACCUUGCGCGAUUGAAUGAGCCGAUGUCGGAUUAGCUAGUUGGCGGGGUAAAGGCCCACCAAGGCGACGAUCCGUAGCUGGUCUGAGAGGAUGAUCAGCCACACUGGAACUGAGACACGGUCCAGACUCCUACGGGAGGCAGCAGUGGGGAAUAUUGGACAAUGGGCGCAGGCCUGAUCCAGCCAUACCGCGUGGGUGAAGAAGGCCUUCGGGUUGUAAAGCCCUUUUGUUGGGAAAGAAAAGCAGCAGGUUAAUACCCCGCUGUUCUGACGGUACCCAAAGAAUAAGCACCGGCUAACUUCGUG